AUUGAACGCUGGCGGCAUGCCUUACACAUGCAAGUCGAACGGCAGCACGGGAGCAAUCCUGGUGGCGAGUGGCGAACGGGUGAGUAAUAUAUCGGAACGUGCCCAGUCGUGGGGGAUAACGCAGCGAAAGCUGUGCUAAUACCGCAUACGAUCUAAGGAUGAAAGCGGGGGAUCGCAAGACCUCGCGCGAUUGGAGCGGCCGAUAUCAGAUUAGCUAGUUGGUGGGGUAAAGGCCCACCAAGGCGCCGAUAUGUAGCUGGUCUGAGAGGACGAGGAGCCACACUGGAACUGGGACACGGUCCAGACUCCUACGGGAGGCAGCAGUGGGGAAUAUUGGACAAUGGGCGCAAGCCUGAUCCAGCAAUGCCGCGUGCAGGAAGGAGGCCUUCGGGUUGUAAACUGCUUUUGUACGGAACGAAACGGCCCUUUCUAAUACAGGGGGCUAAUGACGGUACCGUAAGAAUAAGCACCGGCUAACUACGUGCCAGCCGCCGCGGUAA
rnacentral:rRNA from 1 species